CUAAACAUUCCACAUUUUAAAAAAAAAUCGUUGGUGUAAAAUUUUGUUACAAAAUUAUGCAAAUAAUCAUAAAAUCAGUAGAAACUUCAUUUAGUAAAUAUUCAUAUUAAAAGUAAUGUAUACUAUAUAUAUAUGUUAGUAUCGUUUAAAUUUAAUUAUAUAUCAUAUACGAUAGAUAAUAUUGAUUGUUUUAAUUUAUUUACCCUAUACGACCGUUUAAUUUAUAUGCGUACACUAUUUAUUACAUAAUAGUAACUGAUUUCUUAGUUAUUUAAUAUAUACUUAUUAUUUUAUUAUUUCAUAAUAUGCAUAAAACAUAAAAUAAGUAAUAAUAUAAAAUAUGUAUUCUGUUCAAGGCGCGGAUCUUAACCUAAGUAUGUAUCUCUUUAAUAAUUUUAAAUCUUAAACAUAUUCUAAAUCUCAGGCCAAAACAAAAUAAUGAAAUGAGAAUAAACUCAAAAAUCAAUAUUUAUAUCGAGUAAUAACUAAAAUGAAAAAAACGACACAAAAAUGAAAAAAACAUAUUGAAGAUAUAUAGGAUGGGCACGCGAACGUAAACUUCUCAUAACUAUAAUUAACUUUUAAAUUUCUUAAUUGUGAUAUAAAACCGAUAUGACAUAGUUUCAUUGUAAUCAAAUAGUAGGUCUGAGAUUUUUUGGCCUAAACGUUAGGUUCUUAUGCGAUAAGUGAUUUUUUUACCUAAAAUAUUUUUAAAAAUGAGAUGAGCUCAUCAGUAAACAAAUUAUGUAAUUAACAAAAAUAUUUUUUAAAAUUUUUUUAAGAGCCAAAAAUAUUUAUUUGAUCAAGAAUAUAAAUUUUAUUUUUCCAUACGAUAUUUCUUAAAUAAUUUUUAUAUAAAUUCAUCAUGCGCUUUCGCAGGUCUUUAUCCUAGUAUGUUAAUAUAUAAACGAACGAGCAUAUAUUAUUUGAAAAUGAUUAGUUGAAAUAUCUUAUACAUGAACAUUUUUGCCAUGACUUGGGAAAAAAACUAGAGGAUUCUGGUUCCAUGCACACUCUUAGGCUAUAAUUAUUUUUUUCUCAAUUUUUGUACAUAACUAUUCGUUCUCCUGAUGAUUAAAAAUAUAACAUUUCAUCCAAAAAAAAACUAGAGGAUUAUGUUAACACAAUGAUUAUUUGAUUGCUACAAAUGUUAUGAUAUUGAUAAAUGGGAUAGACAAAGAGCGUUUAUAUUGAUUAGAGAAACAGAGAGAAACUCUUUCUAGCAGGGGUGGGACUUUCUACCAUUAAGAGGAGCAUAAGCACCACCAGAGAAAUGUUCGCUACUAGGUCGACAGAUGGAGAGAAGAUGAGGCACUGGCUUCAUGGAAGAAAACCGUACCUUUGUCAGGCGAGAGAUAUCCAGACUUCUCAUUUUGAGGUUAAAAGAAAUGAUUUAGAGCAACUUUUUUUUUGGUCAACAGAGCAACUUUGACUAAGACACUAAAUUUGAUGUUAAAAUAAUAUUAUAUAUAUAUAUAUAUUUUUUUUUUAUUAUUAUUAUUAUGAUGUUUUAUUUUAUUUUAUCUUCAAUACAACACCAAGAUUUAACAUUAAAAUUUUUGAAUUUUUUUAUACAUAGUAUUUGUUUUAAUUGACUAAUUCAUUUAAAUUUAAGAUGAAAAACUGAAAAGAAAUAACUGUUUAUAUAUUGUUCCUAAAAUUAUUUGAUCACAUUUAGAUUUUAUGCUUGUUUGAUUAAAAUUUUGAAUUAUAUAAACUUUUAUCUUUUUAAAAAAGUUAAUUUAUGUAAAAUACCAAUUGAAAUUAAAAAUAACACUAUUACAAAUGUUAGUAUAAAAUAUCUAUGAUAUUUAUCUUGGUUAAAUUUUUAUCUAAUUUAUAAUAUUCAUUUAAUUAUAUUAUUCACUGAAUUGUUAUGAAAUAAAAAUGAUAAGUAUAAAACAACUAAUGUGAUAUAUUUAUUUUUGCUUUAAAUUUUGAAUUAACUAAAAAUAUUAAUUUAGUUAUAUUACUAAAUAAAAUAAAAUUAUGAUGAUAACUAAGAUAUGACAAAACAAAAAUGUAUUAAUUACAUUUGACUAAUUAUACACUUAUACUGUAUUAUUUAAAUGAUUAUUUCCAUAAGAGAUGCCUAGUUUCUUUUUGUAACUCCUAAAAUUUGUUGACCUCACAUCUAUAUUUAAAUGAACUGGCUAAUUAAACUGACUGAUUAUUUUAUAUUUUAUUUCGCUAAUGAUAUCUUUAGUGGUCAAAAGUCUAUUAUAAGUAAAAUCUGAUAUAAUUUAUUAUAUGUAUUGUUUUUCUCAUUUAAGUAUAUAUUUUUAUUUUAUGUGAUAAAAAAUUAACAAAGAGAAAAAGAACAUCCCAUAUUUUACAACCUGUAUAUAUAGACAUAUAAUCAUUAAUAGACCAAAGUCAUUUGAAAAGAAAAAUAUCAAACAGAUAAUAUUGAUCAUGGCCAAGUUAUCAUGUUCUUUUUUUCUUCUACUAGUGAUUAUAUUCUCGGUAUGUUUAAUGGUUGAAAAAUCCGAGGGAAUGCUAUGUGAAAUAACCAUUGACCAAGAACAGGACUGUGAAAUGUUUUUUUGCACUCAGGACUGCGCCAGGCAUUAUAAUGGCGUUGGAGAAUGUUUGGACGAUCCUAAUGUUUUCGGACCUCGUAACUGUCGUUGUAAAUAUAACUAGAGCUUGACCCGCGCAUCCGCGCAGGUGUUAGUUUUUUGAUAAAUGAAUAUUUAUUUGUAUAAGUGAUAAUAUAUAUUUUAAAAUUUACCCGUUUAAUUUUUUUUUAA